rnacentral:lncRNA from 1 species
UAACUUCAUAGAGGGUAACCUGACAAAGAAUUCCUCAUGAUAUUCCAGUGGCAUCUGUGGACUUGUGCCAGUCAGCAGAGCCUCUCGGUUUCUUCUGGGUUGAACUGCUGCUGUUGCUGACUCGUGUUCGGUGCCUGUUGAGAGGACUGAAGUCCCACUGCUGAUUUGUGUUUGGUGUUUUGAUAGUGAACUGGACUGCUGAUAUCAAGUGGAAGUCGAACCGCUGGAGAGACGCCUCCUGGCCGAGCAUUUGCUCUUCUUCUAGAGGGCCAGGGCCCUGGUGUUGAAGGCAGGAUGUAGUGUGAGGUUUUGCAGUGUGGCAGUAGGUGAAGAGG